UACGGGAGGCAGCAGGGGGAAUAUUGCACAAUGGGCGCAAGCCUGAUGCAGCCAUGCCGCGUGUAUGAAGAAGGCCUUCGGGUUGUAAAGUACUUUCAGUCGUGAGGAAGGUGUUAAGGUUAAUAACCUUAGCAAUUGACGUUAGCGACAGAAGAAGCACCGGCUAACUCCGUGCCAGCAGCCGCGGUAAUACGGAGGGUGCGAGCGUUAAUCGGAAUUACUGGGCGUAAAGGGCACGCAGGCGGUUAAUUAAGUUGGAUGUGAAAUCCCCGGGCUUAACCUGGGAAUGGCAUUCAAGACUGGUUAGCUAGAGUCUUGUAGAGGGGGUAGAAUUCCGAUGUGUAGCGGUGAAAUGCGUAGAGAUGUGGAGGAAUACCGGUGGCGAAGGCGGCCCCUGGACAAAGACUGACGCUCAUGUGCGAAAGCGUGGGGAGCAAACGAGGGAUUAGAUACCCGU
rnacentral:rRNA from 1 species